CCGCGCCGCCGCCUCCCACUCGUCCGGCUGGGAGCUCGUCCUCCCGCCUUCCACCAUGGCUUGCAGCAGCCGGAGAAGAUGGAGAGGAGCUGGUCCGCCCGCCAUGGCUUGCAGCGGUCGGAGAAGAUGGAGAGGAGCUCCUCCGCCCAUCUUCCACCAUGGCUUGCAGCUGCCGGCGAAGAUGGAAAGGAUAGCAGGACCCUGCUCCACCGGUGCCGUCACAUAUUUGAAAAGGAUUAGGAGGAGCUAUGGAGGAGGACGAAUGAAAGAAGCAGGAGGAAGAGAUAUUCUUUUGCGAUUUGGUUGUCAUGGUGGUAUCAUCCCUACUGUCUCCUUUCUUUUUAGUUUCUAACUUUGAUGCUUGGAUUUGUUUUGUUGUCCAGCAGGAGGAGUAGGAGGAGACAUGGAGGAUGAGGAAGGAGACAAGCAGGAGGAAGAGAGAUUCUUGGGGGUGCAGCCUUAUCGACUCGCUAUAAACUGAUCAGGGCUGGAUUUUUUUAGUUUAUGCUUCGGGAGGAAUUGCAGCUGCAGACAAGUAGAAGAAUUGCCAUGGAGGCUUGACAAAAGCAGUCGUUCCCUUGGUAGUGGCUUGCGAGAGGUGUGGCUUGCUGAAAAAUAGGCUUUUUUCGUAGCUCCAAGUAUACAGGGUUGCAAGUGUCUUGUCAAUGCAUCGUUAUAUUAUAUGCAGCGAAAGAAUAAUAUAGAUCCAGGAAAAUGACAACCAAGUAUUACCAAAAGUUUCAGCAGAAGAUACAUGGUUGGUGUGCAAAUAUACAUGUCCAAGACGUCUAUGCAUUGGUUUUUGCCUCUUGAUUUCAUUGGUUUCUUGAUCGAACGAAGAAGAGAAGUGGAAGGAUCUUGAGGAAGAAUUAAGAACAAGAUGAUCUCACUCUUAUUUUUCUGUGUUGUUCUCUCUCUCUCUCUGUUGUACAUGGAAGUAGAUUAUUUGCUUUGUUAAUGUGAGCUUGUUUGUUUGGCUCUGCUUGAUAUGUUGCCAACCUUUGUCCUUGACUCCAUACAGGUGCAGGCCAAGGAGGUCGGCUAGGAUGAGGUUGGGUGAUGUGCACGAUGGAGAAAAAAGGUGCAGUUCCGUGGUGUUACUAGAAGUGAUCAGAAGCCUGCAGUAUGGGCAAUGUUUGCUGCUGUUUUUAAGUUGAUCAAUUUACCAUGGCCAUCAGAGAGCAGUUUGGGAAGUUUGAUAGCGUACUUGAGCCAGGAUGCCACUGCCUGCCUUGGAUCUUUUAGACAUGCGUAGUUGGGUAUCUCACACUCAGGUUGCAGCAGCUGAAUGUGCGCUAUGAAACUAAGACAAAGGUGGUUGAGCUGAAGCAUUGCCAAAGCAUUGCCACGGUGAAACAUUAGAUAUUGCUGAUUCUAAACUUGGAAAUGCUAUAAAAGAGAAGAAAAUUGACUGCGUUCACAACAGUGAUGUGAUGGAGCCGAUGAGAGGGCUCAGAAAUCAGCUUAGUGAGCUGGGCACACAUGACCUUGGUCCAAGGAGCUUGGACUUUUCCACAGCUUGUUAGAUAUAAGCUGAAGUUCAGUUCUGAAAAGGUGAGGAACACAAGGGCUUGUAACAUGGAAAUAUAAUUGUAAGUGUAGUUUCAGGGAAGAACAUGCCGAAUAUAACGGCCAAAGAAGGAAGGGACAUGAGGCUGUAAUAUCUUUUUUGUUCCCAUUUCUUUCAGGAAGUCACAGCUAGAAAUGGUGGGUGGACAUAUAACUGCCUGUUAGCCCUUUUAUGUUUCUCUGAAUGAAGUAUGAGCUAAUGUUAGAUUCUUUUCCUGGUACAUAAUUGAUAUGUACAGUUACCACACAAUCAUGAUCACAAAUGUUUCCAACUGUCUGAAUCGUGUGAUUGCAAAGUAGAACCCAUAUGAUUGACACUGAUGAUGUAAUGGGUUAUCUGCAGUAUAUCUCAAUUUUGAA